GCAAUGGUGGUUCAGUGGUAAAAUUCUUGUCUUCCACGAGGGAGACCUGGGUUUGAUUCCUGGCCAAUGCA
rnacentral:tRNA from 1 species